GGUGUGGACAGCGAGGCCGGCACCUCGCCCUACCAGGGCGACCUGGUGAUGUUCUCCACCGGCAACCGCUCGGGCCUGAUCCGCACCG
rnacentral:tRNA from 2 species